rnacentral:rRNA from 1 species
UAUGGUGGCUAUGACAGCGUGGACCCACCUCUAACCAUACCGAACAGAGAAGUUAAACGCGCCCGUGCCGAUGGUACUGCCUCACAAGGGUGGGAGAGUAGGUAGCCGCCGCCC